rnacentral:tRNA from 1 species
GGAUAUGGUGUAGUGGUAACACACAGGACUUUGACUCCUGUAUCGUAGGUUCGAACCCUGCUAUC